UGCUGCAGAGGAAGAGGAGGUGGAGGCAAAUGUCUUCAGCACUAGAGCAAACAGGUCUCUUAAGACCUGAAGACAAGGCAAGACCUAGGGGCAAAGAACAUGGUGAGCGGCUGCCUCAUUAAAGCCACAGACAGCUCCCGCAAUUGUGCCUGCUCCGUAACUUGCUGAGGCAGCCCUUCAUCAAAAGACAACCUGGAGAACAAGAAAGUCACAAACCAGUUUUAGGCACAUCUGUGCGCACACGCACAGCAGCAGCUGCCGUAAGCAGACACGGAGUGUCUACAAGGGCACCUACCCUGGGAAGCUGCAGGAAGAAGUAAAACCAUGCUUGACAGCCAGUCACCGAAUGCCUAGAAGACUGGAGCUUACGAAUGUGUGAAGAGUCUCUUCCGGUCCAGGGCCACACGCUUCCUUCUGGUACCAAACUGUGCAGCGGUGCGUGUUCUCAGGAACUGUGUGCUGGACCCUAAACAGCUGGGCAGGGUCUACUGCAUGCAGCAGUCUAUAGAACCCUGUCUUCCACUCCAAAUCUAUUUCUGCAUCACCAGAUCUUUUAUGGCAGGACGAGGCAGGUGUUUUAAACUAAGAAAGCUUUCCUUCGGGUCAUACAGUAUUCCCCAUCACCUUCAAGAGACAUAUUUUAAGAUCCCAGGACACGGCAAAAACUACAGGACCCAUCAACUUUCUGGCGAGGAGUAAGGAUUCCCGAACAACUGGUGGACUAUUGACGGAAC